GGGCCGGUCGUCUAGCGGUUAGGACGUCGCGCUUACAACGCGGAGAUCGCGGUUCGAAUCCGCCCCGGCCCACCU
rnacentral:tRNA from 1 species